rnacentral:rRNA from 1 species
CACGUAGGGCGCAAGCGUUGUCCGGAAUUAUUGGGCGUAAAGAGCUCGUAGGCGGUCUGUUGCGUCCGCUGUGAAAACUCGGGGCUUAACCCCGAGCCUGCAGUGGAUACGGGCAGACUAGAGGUAGGUAGGGGAGAAUGGAGUUCCCGGUGUAGCGGUGAAAUGCGCAGAUAUCGGGAGGAACACCGGUGGCGAAGGCGGUUCUCUGGGACGGUACUGACGCUGAGACGCGAAAGCGUGGGGAGCGAACAGG